rnacentral:rRNA from 1 species
CCUACGGGCGGCAGCAGUCGAGAAUCAUUCACAAUGGGGGAAACCCUGAUGGUGCGACGCCGCGUGGGGGAAUGAAGGUCUUCGGAUUGUAAACCCCUGUCAUGUGGGAGCAAAUUAAAAAGAUAGUACCACAAGAGGAAGCGACGGCUAACUCUGUGCCAGCAGCCGCGGUAAUACAGAGGUCUCAAGCGUUGUUCGGAAUCACUGGGCGUAAGGCGUGCGUAGGCUGUUUCGUAAGUCGUGUGUGAAAGGCGCGGGCUCAACCCGCGGACGGCAAAUGAGACUGCGAGACUAGAGUAAUGGAGGGGGAACCGGAAUUCUCGGUGUAGCAGUGAAAUGCGUAGAUAUCGAGAGGAACACUCGUGGCGAAGGCGGGUUCCUGGACAUUAACUGACGCUGAGGCACGAAGGCCAGGGGAGCGAAAGGGAUUAGAUACCCCAGUAGUC